rnacentral:rRNA from 1 species
AACGAACGCUGGCGGCAGGCUUAACACAUGCAAGUCGAGCGGGCGAGGUUGCUUCGGUAACUGAGCUAGCGGCGGACGGGUGAGUAAUGCUUAGGAAUCUGCCUAUUAGUGGGGGACAACAUUCCGAAAGGGAUGCUAAUACCGCAUACGUCCUACGGGAGAAAGCAGGGGCUCUUUAUGACCUUGCGCUAAUAGAUGAGCCUAAGUCGGAUUAGCUAGUUGGUGGGGUAAAGGCCUACCAAGGCGACGAUCUGUAGCGGGUCUGAGAGGAUGAUCCGCCACACUGGGACUGAGACACGGCCCAGACUCCUACGGGAGGCAGCAGUGGGGAAUAUUGGACAAUGGGGGGAACCCUGAUCCAGCCAUGCCGCGUGUGUGAAGAAGGCCUUUUGGUUGUAAAGCACUUUAAGUGGGGAGGAGGCUUACCUGGUUAAUACCUGGGCUAAGUGGACGUUACCCACAGAAUAAGCACCGGCUAACUCUGUGCCAGCAGCCGCAGUAA